rnacentral:rRNA from 1 species
GCCAGAGGAAACUCUGGUGGAGGCUCGCAGCGGUUCUGACGUGCAAAUCGAUCGUCAAAUUUGGGUAUAGGGGCGAAAGACUAAUCGAACCAUCUAGUAGCUGGUUCCCUCCGAAGUUUCCCUCAGGAUAGCUGGAGCUCGGGCGCGAGUUCUAUCGGGUAAAGCCAAUGAUUAGAGGCAUCGGGGGCGCAACGCCCUCGACCUAUUCUCAAACUUUAAAUAGGUAGGACGGCGCGG